rnacentral:rRNA from 1 species
AUUGAACGCUGGCGGCAUGCCUUACACAUGCAAGUCGAACGGCAGCGGACCUUCGGGUGCCGGCGAGUGGCGAACGGGUGAGUAAUAUAUCGGAACGUACCUUUCAGUGGGGGAUAACGUAGCGAAAGUUACGCUAAUACCGCAUAUUCUGUGAGCAGGAAAGCAGGGGAUCGCAAGACCUUGCGCUGAUUGAGCGGCCGAUAUCAGAUUAGCUAGUUGGUGAGGUAAAGGCUCACCAAGGCGACGAUCUGUAGCGGGUCUGAGAGGAUGAUCCGCCACACUGGAACUGAGACACGGUCCAGACUCCUACGGGAGGCAGCAGUGGGGAAUUUUGGGCAAUGGGCGCAAGCCUGAUCCAGCCAUGCCGCGUGAGUGAAGAAGGCC